UACGUAGGGUGCAAGCGUUGUCCGGAAUUAUUGGGCGUAAAGAGCUCGUAGGCGGUCUGUCGCGUCUGCUGUGAAAACUCGGGGCUUAACCCCGGGCCUGCAGUGGGUACGGGCAGACUAGAGUGCGGUAGGGGAGACUGGAAUUCCUGGUGUAGCGGUGAAAUGCGCAGAUAUCAGGAGGAACACCGGUGGCGAAGGCGGGUCUCUGGGCCGUAACUGACGCGGAGGAGCGAAAGCAGGGGGAGCAACAGG
rnacentral:rRNA from 1 species